rnacentral:rRNA from 1 species
GCAGUAGCCGCGGUAAUACGAAGGGUGCAAGCGUUAAUCGGAAUUACUGGGCGUAAAGCGUGCGUAGGCGGUGAGUUAAGUCUGCUGUGAAAUCCCCGGGCUCAACCUGGGAAUGGCAGUGGAUACUGGCUCGCUAGAGUGUGUCAGAGGAUGGUGGAAUUCCCGGUGUAGCGGUGAAAUGCGUAGAGAUCGGGAGGAACAUCAGUGGCGAAGGCGGCCAUCUGGGACAACACUGACGCUGAGGCACGAAAGCGUGGGGAGCAAACAGGAUUAGAUACCACCGUAGUCCCUGUCUCUUAUAC